UUGACUGCAUAAUGAUAAAUGCAUGUAACAAGUGAAGCAUUUGUACUUAUUUUGGGUUGUAAUUGCAUGAUAAUGUGUUGAGUUCCAGGGCACUGUCACCACCUCCUGUGCGGGUCAUUAAGAAGCAGCCGCUGUCACCCGAGUCACUAGUCGAUGUCAGUCACUAGAUGAGCUGCUAGAAAUAUUGCCUAUUAUUUUAAUGUUUUGAUGUAAUACCAAGCUCAGAUGAGAGGUGAAUGACCCUGAUGUUGAAAUGACUGACUUUAUGGUGCUGGAAGAUUCAGUUGGAAAUGGCCACAGAGGGACGCCCACCAUGGUCAACAACAGAGCUUAAUCGAGGAGCUGCUAUCGACACAAAGAUGUCUGAAGAAACAUUCACCAUAUUAAAUCACCACCAACGGCUUGUUCCAUUAACGCAAGGCAUGAUGGGUCAAUGAAUUCAAUCCAUUUAUGCCCAGCCUGGAGACAGCCAUUCUGCAUGGUGAAGAGUUUUGGUGAUCAUGUGGCAACUGCAACACCAUGAACAGAUGGGAAAACCUUGAUGAAACAGCGAGACAGGACUACACCACACUCACCCUAGCGUCUGAUAACAUCGGCUUCGCCAAAACCCACGGCAGCCAUUGUGCUUCUUACCUAACCUUGAUCUAUUAUCCAGACCAGGGCAAAACUGUGCUCACAUCAGAGAGGUGAGUGUGCGUUUCACCCGCAAUCGAUUUCUUUUGUCUUUAAUGGAUGGCUUUAUUUAGCCGCGAGAGAGAGCACCACUCUCUCAUACAUGACCAGCAAGCUGUUUAAUAGACCCAAAUCUAUAUUUCAUUAAAAUGAUGACAUUCAGCACCCCCUGCUUGCUCUUAAUUCCUGUCCUAUCGAUCGCCGGCCGUUUAACUCUUGCAGUCGUGUGAUAAAUGAGCUGCUCGUAGGUGGAGCUCUCCUCCGAACCCCCACUUUUCAUGAUGUAAGAACUGAGGAUCUUGAUUCUGCCCCCUU
ensembl:lncRNA